GUGACUGAGUGGGAGGGAGAGCGGGAAGGGGGGAGCGGGUAGGCGGUCGGGUUGCGAGAGCCCCCGGGUGUGGGCGCUGCCCUGAACUCCUUACCCCAGCUGCCUGGCUGCCCCCAGCUUCCCAAAGCUCAAAUAAGUGGGGACGGCGGCGGGGGAGGAGGAGGAGUCAGGAGUCUGGGCCGCUCCAUUCACCUCGUAGCCCUAGCGGAUUCCGGCAGCGCGCGCUGCUCCUUGGAGGCGUCCUCGCGGUGGGGGUGGGGGGCGGGCCCGAGGGAGCGUCCCUCUCAGACACUUUCCUCUCCUGCCCGCCAUGCGCUCUCCGCUGGCCUGUGGGACACAGACCUACCCCCACCUCCCCAUUUCGGCCUUCAGGAGUGUGGACGCCUCAGGGCACUAGCGAGACUCUCCAGUUAAAACUCAGUUUCUUCACCGGGUUUGGGGGCCCAGGACCGGUGCACAUUGCCAGGUGCGUGGAGCAGAAUUACCCCUUUCCCCAGUUCUCAGUGCCUGGAGCCGUCAGGGUUACCCGUUUGUUUUGAUGCCACCGCGAGAUGGUCCCCGAGCUCCGAGAGAGUCCCCAAUGAAAGGAUUCCGCAGCGUUGCCUCUAUUAUGGUCAGCCCCUCUGCCAGGCGCAUGCUCCCUGCAGCCCCGUCACUCAGGCUCGGUUUGGCUUUGGGUGACCGUAGGAGGUGGUGUGGAUGUCCUGCCCAGAUUCCCGGGCCCACCUUGGAGUUCACAUGCGAUGGUGGAAGACGGCCUCCCAGAGACUGGUGACUCCCCACCUCAAGCAUCCACAUCUCUGCACUUCUCCAAGAGCUUCCUCCUGCACCAGUGGGCUUGCCAGGCAGCAGGCACGUGCAGUCCCACCCAGUGGAGGACUGGUGAUCUUCCUGACGGUCAAAGCUCCAUCAGCCUGAACCUCUGAGAGGAAAGGGUGGAAGAGAAGCUUCUCUUGCCUGGUUUCUGAAUGUGGCCUUGAAAACGUCCACAGAACUAUUGUUGUCUUGUUGAGUCUGCAGCCAGGAAGGCAGAAAUCACUGCGGCAGAGCAGGUGUGAACAUCCCCCUACUUCAGAGACAGCUCUCUUUGAAGCUGGAAAAUCAAGGACGCUGGUACCUUCAAGGAAACAAGGAUAUAAUUAUCGCAACACCCAAUUGGCCAGUGACCUUCCAUUCCUCAGGCCGGCCCUACUCCCUUCGCUGGCACCAGCCCAGGUCCUCACAGACUGAGCUCAGACGGAGGAGCGACCCGCUCCCGUGCCCUUUGAAAGCGUUCUUAAUCUCUUUCCACUGCGCGGGUCUUGCUGACAUAAAUCCGCCAGCCCAGGGGGCCUCUGAGCCCCCCACCGAGGGAGGGCCUUCAGGCCAAGUGGAGUCUGGGCAGCUAAGGCGCAGAAUUUAUGCUUCCUCUCACCUGCGCCAUCUGUCUGUGGCCUCUACCCCAGUCUGUUUGUGAAGGUUUGAACAUGACCUCCCAGCUCCCCGCCAAAUCAGCCGGCAUCAUCACCUCGGCCACAGAGGCCGACUUCUCAAGGCCACUGGAAGCUAAUAACAGGGACUCUCAACUUCGUUAUUGUAUUUGAAAUGUUGAAAGCAGAAGCCUAAUAAAAUUAGUUCAGAAAAACAGAAAGAGCUAUAAAUUGUCAUUUGAAAGGAGUAGCUAAAGACCUCAAAAUACCAAGGGGCUAUUUCUCAAUUACAGCAAUAAUCCA